CACAGGGAAAAAAGAGCAGUAGGAUUGGGAAUGCUAUUCUUGGGGGUGCUAAGUGCAGCAGGUAGCACUAUGGGCGCAGCGGCAACAGCGCUGACGGUACGGACCCACAGUGUACUGAAGGGUAUAGUGCAACAGCAGGACAACCUGCUGAGAGCGAUACAGGCCCAGCAACACUUGCUGAGGUUAUCUGUAUGGGGUAUUAGACAACUCCGAGCUCGCCUGCAAGCCUUAGAAACCCUUAUACAGAAUCAGCAACGCCUAAACCUAUGGGGCUGUAAAGGAAAACUAAUCUG
rfam:Human immunodeficiency virus type 1, complete genome.